GGCCUCUUUGGAAGAAACAGCUGGAUGAGCAUUUUGAGAUCCUCAACUGAAUUUUCUACUAACUAAAAUAAGGGCUAGAUGGGCAGAAUGGCUUCCCCUGGGGCCUGGCAUUACUUAUCAGACAUGCAAUGAGAAAUAAUAAGAGAACAUUGAAGAGCUACUGCAAAACCGAUUUUAAUUAUGAAGAAAUGUGCACGAAAGUCUGCAUCUAUAGCAGCCUGGCUGGAGAAAGUGUGAUAUCACUUCCUGUGAUGUGAUCUGCACAGUACCAUGUGCCCAAGAGUGUGAUCGGGGAAAUGAUAGGCAUGGCCUGUGGAAAUGAACAAGAAAGCACAGGAAACCAACUUCAGGCACGGAAAACAAACAAAACGAUGUCUGGAGAUUUAUCUUCCAUGACCAGACACACUCCUGACAUAAGGGUAGCUGUAACUGUCCUUAAAGGAAAAUCAAGGCAGGGACAAUGCAAG